GAGGGACCUGGCGGCCUUGGGGGCGGGGAGCAGCGGUCACUCGUUGGAGUCCGGCUCCGGGCGCCCCAGCUUCAUUUUUUUAUAUGAUAGCCUCCUGCCAUUCAACCGCCUCUCUUUCAAAAUGGAAUUUUCAGAACAUAGGGCUUGGGUCGGGCCUAAGGUUUGGAAAUGUAGUAAACGAAGAAGGUUUCAUUGCUCUGUGGAAAGUGAAAAAAACAGCUCACCCCUGCCUGAAAAAUCCAAGUCCAGGCCUUCCUGAUUCCAGGAACUUUAGGAUUAAAGAAGGAAGAACUUUGCACAGGCAUUUGGCACACAAGGAUGAAUAAAGAACAUCUCUUUGGGAGGUCCCAUCAUGGCACAGUGGAAACAAUCCAACUAGGAACCAUGAGGUUGCGAGUUCGAUCCCUGGCCUCGCUCAGUGGGUUAAGGAUCCAUCGUUGUGGUGAGCUGUGAUGUAGGUCGCAGACGCGCUUCAGAUAUGGCGUUGCUAUGGCUGUGGUUUAGGCCGGCAGCUGUAGGUCUGAUUAGACCCUAGCCUGGGAACUUCCAUAUGCCAUGGGUGCGGCCCUAAAAAAAGCAAAAAAACUGCCCCAAAACGAAAAAACAUCUCCUGGAUGUUUAUUGCUGUGAUUCAAGUGGUAAGUCCUGGCACCUCAAGGCAGAUUUUAUUAUCAGUGCUCAUGGAGGAAGAGCAGCUCCCAACUUGGAGAAGAGGCACCAUGCCCUUAUCAAUUACGCAAGGUUGUUCCACCUUCCUGGACUCUGGGUGGCUGCCUGAGAUCUGCAAGCAGGUGUCUCAGUCACAGGCUGGGUGAAACAUACUGAAAGAAAGAAAACAGCAAAGUGAAAUCACAGGGAUUUUAUUUGCUUACCCAGGGGGUGGUGGUGUAGGGUUUUUUUUAUUGUUUUUUUACCUAGAGGAAAAUUGUCUCUAAAUAACAUCUGCAUUGUAAAUUUCCACCCAGCUGCCUUUGGAUGAAAUAUGGGUUAUCAAUACUGUCACCUUUGCAACUAAUGAAAACUCUAGUACAUAUUUACUUGUCAAGGUUGACAAAGAGUUGAUUAACAAUGUCCCAUUUCUCUCAAUUUAAAAGUAAUUACUUUUUGGGCUAUUAACAAAGUAUCUUCGAGAUCUAUAAGACAAGCCAUAAAUUUGAAGGUAAUUACAUUUGAAGGUUCACCCAAUCAAGUAAGACCAAUCUCUCUAGGUAGAUAGGUAUCUCAAGGUACAUAUUUAUCUAAAGUAUAGAUAUAGACAAUUUGAUCUGCUCUGAAGCUAUAUAAAUUUGCUUUAGAGAUCACCUUUUUUUCUAGAGUACUAUUACAAAAUUAAAGCUAUACUCAAAAUAUUCCUAGAGUUUAGUAACUGAAUUCCAAUGAAGAAAAAUAACAAUAAAAAAAAAAUAGCUUUGAAUUUUCUCCUCCCUACAGAGGACAAUUUUUCUGGUCCCUGGGAAUAGUGAUCAAGAACUCAUUAUUUCUAUUAAGUUCAUGCCCAAU
rnacentral:lncRNA from 1 species